rnacentral:rRNA from 1 species
UUUGUGACAUACCUACAACUGUUGCUUCGGCGGGUAGGCCGUCCCCUGAAAAGGACGCCUCCCGGCCCGGACCGGACCCCCCGUGGGGCCGGACUCGGCGCCCGCCGGAGGAUAACCAAACGCUAUUUUAACGACGUUUCUUCUGAGUGGCAUAAGCAAAAUAAUCAAAACUUUUAACAACGGAUCUCUUGGUUCUGGCAUCGAUGAAGAACGCAGCGAAAUGCGAUAAGUAAUGUGAAUUGCAGAAUUCAGUGAAUCAUCGAAUCUUUGAACGCACAUUGCGCCCGCCAGCAUUCUGGCGGGCAUGCCUGUUCGAGCGUCAUUUCAACCCUCAAGCUCUGCUUGGUGUUGGGGCUCUACGGUCGACGUAGGCCCUCAAAGGUAGUGGCGGACCCUCCCGGAGCCUCCUUUGCGUAGUAACAUUUCGUCUCGCACUGGGAUCCGGAGGGACUCUUGCCGUAAAACCCCCCAAUUUUUCAAGGUUGACCUCGGAUCAGGUAGGAAUACCCGCUGAACUUAAGCAUAUCAAUAAGUCGGAGGAAA